UAGGCCCUGAAUCACGACCAGUGGUUCAUUGUAGCUGUUGCUUUCAAACAGAAGCCAAGUGAUGUUUUCCGUAUGGUCCAUUGGCUAUUCCCUAUCCCAUGGGAAUGGCCAAUUCAGUUGGAUUGUGUUUCU
rfam:Tupaia chinensis contig32734, whole genome shotgun sequence.